rnacentral:lncRNA from 1 species
AGCACUUUUUAUCUUUAUUGUUGUAGUUGUCAUGAUUUAAAUUUGAUUUGCUGUGUUUAUAUCGGAAUGCUGGACAUUAAAUUAUACAUUAUGAGAGUGAUCUAUCUAUCUAUCUAUCUAUCUAUCUAUCUAUCUAUCUAUCUAUCUAUCAUCUAUCUAUCUAUCUAUCUAUCUAUCUAUCUAUCUAUCUAUCUAUCUAUCAUCUAUCCAUACAAUGAUAUAAAUGAAAUCUUUUUCUGUCAGGAUCUCAGUGGAUUGGGAAGACAGUGAAGCUGCUUUACUCCUCAAGGAGGAGCUGAGGAGUUUGUCUGAAGAGCUGGCUCAGUGCCAGGAUUUGGAAAAGGAGCUGUUCAGAAGCAGACAGGACGAGCUGGAGACUGCUUUGUCCCUUCAGCUUUCUACCGAAGAAUGGGAAGAAGUCUGUCAAAUCAAGUAAGCAGUGUUCGCACAGACCUGACUGUGUUUGUUUAACCCCGAGCGUACGAGCUGACCGUGAGCAGUGUGUCCGUGUCCAGGCGUGAGCUCCAGGACCUGCAGCGUCUGUACAGGCCCGGCUCCUUCAGCAGCAGGAGGGCCUUAACCUGGACACGCAGAGAGUCCUGCACAGCCGAGAGGAGGCCCACACGGCACACACCGUCUCCUUCCAGAAGGUACAGGAGCGCAUCUGUUGUGUGAACUCAGCGGCUGUCCUCACAAGCGAACACGGCGCCCCUAGGGGGGGUGAACUCGUGCUCUAGCAAGGACUAAACUGCAUUAACCGAGCUUGUCCUUCACUGUCUGUUUCUGCUGUGACAGCUCCACAGCGAGCUGAGCGUGUCAUACCAGGCCCAGGAAGAGCUCUGCCAGAGAGAUCAGCAGAUCCGAGAGCUCCAGGCACAGCUGCGGAGCUUCACAGCAGCCGUGGGGCACGCGAGGUGAGUCCGUGUGGGGAGCACCGUGACAGAUUUACAUCACGCUCAAUGCCCUUUGUAUGCAGAGCAAGCUGAAUGAGCACUUCAGCAAAACCACACACCGUUCCCUUGCUUUUCUCCUCUUAGUAUAACCGCAUCCAUAAUAAAUGAAAUGCCUUUCGGUAAGAGAUGACCAGGAGUUUUUAUCCUUUUUGCAAGACUUCAUGCUGUCUUACAACUCCAAAGCGUUGGCAUUAACCCUAACACUGCCAGAGCUCCUCUCAGCAGAUCUGCAUAGGGAAG